CAGGUACCGUAGAUCUGCAACCUUGCUCUAGUGCAUCUCAUUUACUUCCUUAUGUUCAGUUAUUAUAAUUGGAUCUCUUAUACUCAAUCAUAUCAAACAAAUGUUACUUUAUAUGGUUUCUUGCAGAUAUAAUAGCAAUUCAACAUAUGUGGGUAGUUUUUUAUCUGACAAGAACAAUGGUAUUUUCCAGAAGUUUGCCCCGAAAAUUAAAUAAUAAUUAUAUUUGAAUAUAGAACAUAUAACUUUAGUGUUGAGGGAAACUUAAGAAGCAGCCCAUCUUUUUUAUGUAAUUUUUUUUUUCCUGGUUUAACCAAGGAGCUUUCAAUUUCCAGAAAUCACUUAGGAAAAAGCAAGGGAAGUUUUUGCAUGGAAUUAUGAUUCAGUUGAUUAUAUUUUUAACAUACGAGUGCUCCACAUUUGAUCAAGGGCUUAACAAUAGACAAUGUGCCAAACUUGCCUCUUUCUUCCUUUUGUGUGGAUUUCUUGACAGAAAUGAACCAUUAAAUGGCUUAAUCAAUGAAAUGAUGAUUCUUUCACUUGUUCAGUCGUCUAUGGAAAAUUUGUUGGCUGAAUUCAUCUUAAUUGUUGUCACACUUGAUACCCAAGAUUGAAACAGCUUGUGUAUUUUUUGUAUGCUAAUAUUGUUAUGUGUUUGAUGGUUGUCACAUCCUCUCCUGUAUUAAUCUGCCUCAUAGUUGUAAUUAUGAACUUACUUUUGCAGAAUCGGUUGCUUGCAAUGAACUACAUAAAUGAGGGA
rnacentral:misc_RNA from 1 species